GGCAACUCCUCUUGCAGCCUAAUCCUGACUGUGGAUUAUGGGACUUGGAGUCCGACGCUGGGGAGGGCCGGAGGAGAGCUGGUCUGGCUCCUCCACAUGGAGGAGACUAAGGGCGGAGCUACGGGAACGACCCUUGCUUUGCCCCGCCCCGCGAAAGCCUCCUUGCAACCCACUUCCUUUUCUGGCUCAUCUGGGGAGCAAUUCGCGCCACCGUUGCCCAAGGGGGGCGGAGCCACGCGCAGGAAGGGGCGGAACUUCCGCCGAGGCGUUUCCUGUAACUACCCUGUUUCCCCGGCAACGCGGCCUUCGGAAGGCCUCUGAAUCCAAGCGGGCUCGACAGGCCUCUUAGACUCGGGCUACCGGAGUUUCCCCCCCCCCCUCAGCUGCUAAUGGCCAAGAGAGCCGGAGUUUGGGGACUGCCAUCCCUCGUUUUCGGGCAGCCCGGUGGGGAAUGGGACGGGCAGCUUAAUGUGCGGAGCUCCAGGUCGGGGAAGGCUGGAUUAAACGACCUAGACUGGAGCUUGCUGUGGAGGAUGUGUGAGACGUGAAGGUCGCGCCUGUUUGCAACUCCAUAAAUGGGGUGGUCUGCCUUUUUGUGAUUUUGCUUUAAAAAUUUCUAAAUAUUUCUUUUGUCUAAAUAUUUUUUCUUCCUCUGCAUGAAUUCAUUAGAACUUUUAGGCGCUCCUAACCUAAUGGAUAUUCUGAGGAUUUCAGGACUAGCUACAGAUUGAGCACCUAAAUAGCUGGUCUGUUCAAUUAUUUUUCAAUUUUCAAAGCAAUGACUCAGAAAGUUUGGGGAGAUUUGGGAUUUUCCUCCUCAGCUGAGAGUUACUUCUGCUCGAAUUGUGUUUGGAAACGAGGAGAUUUCUGUAAUAGCCAAAUAUAAGAAGGAACAAUGGCUUAUAUAGAAUCUCCAUCAAAAUUUGUCAAUUUUAAAAUUUAACCGUUAGCCAUACAAGAGAAUCUGCACAUCAUUGUAAAAUGAGUCUGAAUUUCAGUAUUAUGAGAUAGAUGCUAAAACUUGGAGAGAUGUUUUUUGUGCCACGGCCUGUUUUUUUUAAAAAAAUUAUUAAUUUGUUUUAUUGCCUGGAGCAAUCUUAGAAUGGAAAAACAGGAGUCAGCAGUUGAUUGCAAAAGCAGGAAUUACAGAAAUACAGUCAACCUGUUGUUCUAGAGUAGUAAGACUGGUACUAUUUGUAGUAGCAGUCAAUAAAAUGGAUGUGUAAUAUGAAAGCAGGUGUUACUGGACAAGAUCUUGAUGCCUGGAAAAAUUAAUUGACAAUUGGAAAAGAGGCCACCGAGAGACAAGAUACUCAGAGACAAUCCUGGCAAAAGAAUAUCCAUCAGGCAGUGUGCUCAUAACCACCCCAGUGCCAAAGGACUCUGGUGUAUAACGUCAAACAAAAACAAUUGAAACAUUUGGCUUUGGGAUGAACAUCCUUCGAAUGGUGCAGGAGUAUGAAUGGAUUUCUAGAAAAAAAUUGCAGACUACAGGAACAUUUGCGCUUCAGUUUGAGAGGCAGACAACACAGACUCAUUCCCAACAGCCUGUGAUCAACAGUGAAGAGGACACAGGACGGAAAACAUGCUGAAGAAAGCAGAGCUCCCAACUUCUCAACAAAAGAAUAUGACAGACUAAUUUUACAAUUGAGGUUUUGAAAGAGAGGGUGGAACACAAACUUCAAGAGCUGAAAUCAUUUGUACCCUACAGCUUAGACAGAAAAAAAUACACAGAACAGAAGAACCAACACAGAUGGACAGUUACAAGUCUCAGAAAACUCCAAUGGGUGAGAAAUCUGACAAAGUUUACCAAACAGAAGAUAAUAUUUUAGCCAAAGGACUGGGUUUUGCAGUCAUACCAGAACAGCUACCAGUUGCAGAUCUCUCAGCACCAGAGUCGGUCAUCAGAAACAAUAAACUGGCAGAACAAUUAAGGAUGAAAGUAUCUGCAGCCUUUGCUAAUGCCAAAACACCCCUUCCAACCUCAUAAUUCAAGAAAGGAGAGCAGUGACAUUCCUAGGAAGAGAUACAAACAUCACCAUCCUGCCAGGAGAUAAAGAAAGAUGCAGUCAUCCUGAACACAGACAACAAGGCCAAAGUAAACAGUCUUCUGAAGGACACUGCCACCUAUGAGAUUCUGAAGAGAUAUCCCACCAAUAUUUACAAGAAAAAAGUCAUUGAUUUUUUGCAACAACUACUGAAA